rnacentral:rRNA from 1 species
UGGCGGCGAUAGCGCGGUGGUCCCACCUGACCCCAUGCCGAACUCAGAAGUGAAACGCCGUAGCGCCGAUGGUAGUGUGGGGUCUCCCCAUGCGAGAGUAGGGAACUGCUAGGCA